rnacentral:tRNA from 1 species
GCCGAAGUGGCGGAAUUGGUAGACGCGCUAGGUUCAGGGUCUAGUGAGGGUAUCCUCGUGGGAGUUCGAGUCUCCCCUUCGGCACCA